rnacentral:rRNA from 1 species
GCGAACGGCUCAUUAGAACAGUUAUAGUUUCUUCGAUUAGUAAGUACAAGGAUAGCUUUGUGAAUGAUAAAGAUAAUACUUGAGACGAUCUUAAAUGUAUAGAUACAUUUAGGCCUUUUUUCUGUAAAAGCGGAGAAAAGAGAACUGAUAUCCAAAGUGAAAGUGGGUAUCACGACAAUUGUAGAAUAGAAAUAUUUGACAAGUAAUCGAUGAAAAUAUCUGAUCUAUCAACUAGUUGGUAGUAUCGAGGACUACCAAGGUUAUAACGGAUAACGAGGA